UCCUUGGUAGCUCAGAUGGUAAAGCAUCUGCCUGCAAUGCAGGAGACCCGGGUUCAAUCCCUGUGUUGGGAA
rfam:TPA: Bos taurus chromosome X, whole genome shotgun sequence.